UGAACGACUCUCGGCAACGGAUAUCUCGGCUCUCGCAUCGAUGAAGAACGUAGCGAAAUGCGAUACUUGGUGUGAAUUGCAGAAUCCCGUGAACCAUCGAGUCUUUGAACGCAAGUUGCGCCCGAGGCCACCCGGUCGAGGGCACGUCUGCCUGGGCGUCACGU
rnacentral:rRNA from 1 species